UGGGGAAUAUUGGACAAUGGGCGCAAGCCUGAUCCAGCCAUGCCGCGUGAGUGAUGAAGGCCCUAGGGUUGUAAAGCUCUUUCACCGGUGAAGAUAAUGACGGUAACCGGAGAAGAAGCCCCGGCUAACUUCGUGCCAGCAGCCGCGGUAAUACGAAGGGGGCUAGCGUUGUUCGGAUUUACUGGGCGUAAAGCGCACGUAGGCGGACUUUUAAGUCAGGGGUGAAAUCCCGGGGCUCAACCCCGGAACUGCCUUGGAUACUGGAAGUCUUGAGUAUGGUAGAGGUGGGUGGAAUUCCGAGUGUAGAGGUGAAAUUCGUAGAUAUUCGGAGGAACACCAGUGGCGAAGGCGGCGCACUGGACCAUUACUGACGCAGAGGUGCGAAAGCGUGGGGAGCAAACAGG
rnacentral:rRNA from 1 species